rnacentral:rRNA from 1 species
GCGAACGCUGGCGGCGUGCCUAACACAUGCAAGUCGAGCGGACCAGAAAUGGAGGUAACUUUAUUUCUGUUUAGCGGCGCACGGGUGAGUAACGCGUAGGUAAUCUACUCCGAAGACUGGGAUAACACCUCGAAAGGGGUGCUAAUACUGGAUACGCUCUUUCUUUCGACGGAGGGGAAGAGGAAAGGUGGCGUAAGGCGCAAGCCUGCUACCACUUCGGAAUGAGCCUGCGUCCUAUUAGCUAGUUGGUAGGGUAAUGGCCUACCAAGGCUAUGAUGGGUAGCUGGUCUGAGAGGACGGUCAGCCACACUGGGACUGAGACACGGCCCAGACUCCUACGGGAGGCAGCAUG